rnacentral:lncRNA from 1 species
AAUAACAUGGCCACACUCUCGAAACUGUACCAACCAGGAAAUACCUAGGAGUAAAUUUCAGUGAGGACCUACAAUGGAAACUUCAUGUUGACGCCACUGCCAAAAAAGCAUCCCGUGAAAUCCAUCGGAUUCCUUAGGUGUAACCUUCGAGAAUGCAGCAAGAAUGUACGAAAUGCAGCCUAUAUCUCUCUGGUCAGACCAACACUAG